rnacentral:lncRNA from 1 species
AUGGGGAACGGUGCCGGCUCACCCCAUCGGCCCCAGCAGCCGUGCCUCCCCCCGUCACUGCCCAUCUCCUGCUCAAGCCUGCACCUCCGGUGCCCCUUUCACUGGGCGAGCGGCCAUGAGUUACAGCAAGGCCCCAGCACCUCCAGCCAGCUGCCAGACCCUGCUGGCCCAGGGGACUCCAGUGCUGCGGCAGCUGCCCCCCAGGCUCCGCGGGCAGGGAGGCCGCCAGCCCGGCGUGCCUCUGCGGACAGUGCCCAGGCACCACGCGGAGGCCGGGAUCCUUCCAGAUCUGGACCCCGGGGGCCUCUCCCUGGGGCAGGGCCAGCAGCGCCCGCUCCUCCCCGCCUCCUGCCACAUCCUGUCCCAGCCGCACCAGCUCCCCAGGCCCCGCUCAGACACCCCCGGUGGGGAGCCGGUCCCCCAGGCCAGCCUGGCCUCGUGCCUCAGCACAGACCCCAGGACAGGCCCCAGGACGGGAGAAAUGUGCUCAGGCCCACACCCCCUGCUGCAGCCCGAGCUGACGGCUCACUACAGGUUCAUGCUCCUGCUCCACCAGAGCUCAGCAGCUGGCAGGGCCAGGGAAAGGUGCCAGCCUCUGGCUGCGGGGCAGGUGGUGGGUGCUGCCCAGCCAGACCUUGUGCUGAGCCUCCCAACACAGCCCCAGGCUCUCCAGCACACCGUGGGGCAUCCCCAGGCAGGCAGAGAUGUGGCCACAGAGCUUGGUGCCUCCUCGGCCCCGGCCCAGGUCCUGGGGCCCCACGGCAGCAGACGGGGCGGGUACAAGGGCAGCACGGCAGAAAAUGCCAUGGUGGAGGGCAGCUGAGCCCUGUGCCCCACUCCCAGCAGACUUGGCAGAGACCUGGCCCAGCAGGACAUGCCCAGAUCUCCUCUUAUAGAGCAGGAGGCACCCCUGUCCAGCACACACCCUGGAGGACUUGGGGCUCUCCGACCCAGAGCCCUGCUGCCCGCACAGCUGUGCCAGGGCUGCUCUCGGGCAGCAGGAUGAGGCACCCGCUGGCUCCCGCAGCAGCCACCCUCCCCACGCUCCCAGCAGCUGGCUCACAGCGAGGUCCUGACACCGCAGCCAUGAGUUGUGCAACUUCCUCUGGGAUUUCACCCCUUGCUUCCUGCCAGACCAGCAUGGCCCGGCGCACUGCCUGGCUCACAGGGCUCCGGGACAGCGGGGUCACAGCACCGCAGCUCCUCACAGCCCCGGCAUCCUCACUGCACGGCGGGGCACCGGCAGAACCACGAAGGCUCUGCCUUGCUACAGCUUUGUGGGGCCUGUCCCGGAGCCAGCUCCCUGCUCCACAGACCCAACAGGCCCCCGGGGCAGCGAGCUGGGCCUGA